rnacentral:rRNA from 1 species
AAUGUUAGCCUCCCAUCCGACCCGUCUUGAAACACGGACCAAGGAGUUCAGUAGGCACGCGAGUCGUUGACGUUUUUCAUUGAACAGUCGAAGGCGAAAUGAAAGUGUUCAUGAAAAUGAACAGUACUUUUCUAUGGAGUGCUGCUCGUUUUCAACAUGAUCGUCCUUUUUUGUGCUUAAUUGUGCAAAAUUGAUAGAUGGGGACGCGCAGUGUGGUGCCGUUGAAUAGUCGCACUGUUCUUUCUUUCUCUUCGGGGUUGGAGGAACAAUUGUCGAUCAGUCGGUUUCGGAGCGUGCACACUGGUACCCGAAAGAUGGUGAACUAUGCUUGAGCAGAAUGAAGCCAGAGGAAACUCUGGUGGAAGUUCGUAGCGGUGUUGACGUGCAAAUCACUCGUCUGACUUGAGUGUAGGGGCGAAAGACUAAUCGAACCAUCUAGUUGCUGGUUCCUUCCGAAGUUUCCCUCAGGAUAGCUGGCAUUUGUGUGUAACAAUUUUAUCCGGUAGAGCGAAUGAUUAGAGGUGUUGGGAACGCAAUGUUCUCAGCCUAUUCUCAAACUUCGAAUGGGUAAGCAAGGCGUUUUGCUUUGAUUUUACGAUGAAAUCGCCCAAUUAGAAUGCAUAAAUGCCUAGUGGGCCAAUUUUGGUAAGCAGAACUGGCGAUGUGGAAUGAACCAAAAGUCAGGUUAAGGUGCCAGACAUUGGCGCUCAUGAAAUACCAGAAAAGGUGUUGGUCGAUAUAGACAGCAGGACGGUGGCCAUGGAAGUUGGAAUCCGCCAAGGAGUGUGUAACAACUCACCUGCCGAAUCGACUAGCCCUGAAAAUGGAUAGCGUUUGAGCGCCAGGCCCAUACCUGACCGUCUCAGUUACGCACUUUUGUUGUUUCAAUGAUGAAGGUGUAAUGAACGUUGAGACGGGUAGGAAGGUCGCGACAGUGUUGCUUUGAAGAGUUUUGAGCGUGAGCUCGCUCGGAGCCGCUGUUGGUGCAGAUCUUGGUGGUAGUAGCAAAUAUUCAAGUGAGAACCUUGAAGGCUGAAGUGGAGCAAGGUUCCAUGUGAACAGCAGUUGGACAUGGGUCAGUCGAUCCUAAGAAAACGGCGAAAGCUUGUUCGAAUUUACGACAUAAAAAAUGUAAAACUGUGUGUGUGUAGUGUGCUUGUGUGUGUACUAUACUGAUAUAGCAGUAGUGGUGGUGGUGGUUUGUCAGUCAGCAGUGUAGUGUUUGUCUGUGGCAGUGCUGCUGCUGCUGCUGCUGCUGCUGCUGCUAUUGUUUACUUGCUGUUGUUGUGUGUUGUUGUACACACACACCCACACAAUUCUGUGUGCAGUUGUCGUAUGUUUUCGAAAGGGAAUCCGGUUGAUAUUCCGGAACCGAGUAACGGAGACAAAGAGUAGCGCUUUAAUCUUCCGGUUGGCGUUCAACUCAAUCGCGCGGUAACGCAAGCGAACUCGGAAAAUGACCGUCGUGAGUUUCGAAAAGAGUUUUCUUUUCUUUUUAAGGGACGCAUUCCCUGGAACCGGGUUGUCCGGAGAUAGGGAUUCUGGUAUCCAUAAAACGCCGACUCUUUCACGGUGUUCGGAGCGCUCUCGUCGGUACGUGAAAAUCCGAGCGACGCCUGGUAAAUCUCGUACUUGGUCGUACUGAUAUCCGCAGCAGGUCUCCAAGGUGAAUAGCCUCUGGCCGAUAGAAUAAUGUAGGUAAGGGAAGUCGGCAAAACGGAUCCGUAACUUCGGAACAAGGAUUGGCUCUAAGGGCUGGGCCGAUCGGGCUGAGGUUUCAAGCGUGCAGUGUAUGCUUGGCUGAGCUGUGCUGAGGAUUGAUUAGCUUGGUGCCGUUUGUUGACCCAAGCGGCUGUCCAGGUGGUCAUGUCUGAAGCAAAGCUGGCCGACAGACCGGCACGUGCAGAACCUGAGCUGCGCGGCUGUCAGUUUAUUUGUACAGACCGUUUCGGUCGGCAUUCAACAGCCAACUUAGAACUGGCACGGACACAAGGAAUCUGACUGUAUAAUUAAAACAAAGCAUUGCGAUGGCCGAUGAUCGGUGUUGACGCAAUGUGAUUUCUGCCCAGUGCUCUGAAUGUCAAAGUGAAGAAAUUCAACCAAGCGCGGGUAAACGGCGGGAGUAACUAUGACUCUCUUAAGGUAGCCAAAUGCCUCGUCAUCUAAUUAGUGACGCGUAUGAAUGGAUCAACAAGAUUCCUUCUGUCCCUAUCUACUAUCUAGCGAAACCACAGCCAAGGGAACGGGCUUGGCAAAAUCAGCGGGGAAAGAAGACCCUGUUGAGCUUGACUCUAGUCUGACUCUGUGAAGAGACAUGAAAGGUGUAGCAUAGGUGGGAGGCUGCAGCCGGGCACUGCUUGCGCGGUGUCUCUGUGGUCGCCAAUGAAAUACCACUACUUUGACAUAGCGUGUUCGAGGAAAACCUUUUGAAAAGCACGUUCAUUGCUUGACUUGUUGUUUAUUAUUAAAUUAACAUGGCUGAGGAUGUGGCUGGCAAAUUCAAAGAGGCCGGUAUUGUACCGGAUGUUUUGGACAAGGCACCGACUGAGAAAUUGGAAGUAUUGUUUCCAGGAAAGCCGGCCGUUAGCCUUGGCGAUAUAUUUCACACUCUAGAUGUACGUCAUGCUCCGAAAGUUAGCUAUCCAGGAAAAGAAGGCCAUUAUUACUCUUUGAUCAUGAUAGAUCCUGAUAAUUUGAGCCGUGAAAAUCCAUGUCAAGCAGAAUGGAUUCAGUGGAUGGUUUUAAAUAUACCGUACGAUGCAAUUUCUGCCGGAAUGAUGUCACGUCAUCUUGUUGGUUAUAUGAUACCUGGUCCUCAACCAAGAACUGGCUUGCAUCGUUUUGUGUUUUUGUUGU